rnacentral:rRNA from 1 species
UGGGGAAUUUUGGACAAUGGGGGCAACCCUGAUCCAGCAAUGCCGCGUGUGUGAAGAAGGCCUUCGGGUUGUAAAGCACUUUUGUCCGGAAAGAAAACGCCGUGGUUAAUACCCGUGGCGGAUGACGGUACCGGAAGAAUAAGCACCGGCUAACUACGUGCCAGCAGCCGCGGUAAUACGUAGGGUGCAAGCGUUAAUCGGAAUUACUGGGCGUAAAGCGUGCGCAGGCGGUCCGCUAAGACAGAUGUGAAAUCCCCGGGCUUAACCUGGGAACUGCAUUUGUGACUGGCGGGCUAGAGUAUGGCAGAGGGGGGUAGAAUUCCACGUGUAGCAGUGAAAUGCGUAGAGAUGUGGAGGAAUACCGAUGGCGAAGGCAGCCCCCUGGGCCAAUACUGACGCUCAUGCACGAAAGCGUGGGGAGCAAACAGGAUUAGAUACCCUGGUAGUCCACGCCCUAAACGAUGUCAACUAGUUGUUGGGGAUUCAUUUUCCUUAGUAACGUAGCUAACCGCGUGAAGUUGACCGCCUGGGGAGUACGGUCGCAAGAUUAAAACUUAAAGGAAUUGACGGGGUCAUAGCUG